GAUGAACGCUGGCGGCGUGCCUAAUACAUGCAAGUCGAGCGAACAGACGAGGAGCUUGCUCCUCUGACGUUAGCGGCGGACGGGUGAGUAACACGUGGAUAACCUACCUAUAAGACUGGGAUAACUUCGGGAAACCGGAGCUAAUACCGGAUAAUAUAUUGAACCGCAUGGUUCAAUAGUGAAAGACGGUUUUGCUAUCACUUAUAGAUGGAUCCGCGCCGCAUUAGCUAGUUGGUAAGGUAACGGCUUACCAAGGCGACGAUGCGUAGCCGACCUGCGAGGAUGGUAGGACGCAGUGAGACUGAGCCACGGUCCAGACGCCGACGGGAGGCGGCAGUAGGGAAUCUUGAUCAUGGGGCGCAAGCCUUACGGAGCAACGCCGAGUGAGUAAAGAAGGUCUUCGGAUCGUAAAACUCUGUUAUUAGGGAAGAACAAAUAUGUAAGAAACUCUGCGCGGCCGGACGGGACCUAAUCAGAAAGCCACGGCUAACUACGUG
rnacentral:rRNA from 1 species